rnacentral:rRNA from 1 species
GACGAACGCUGGCGGCGUGCCUAACACAUGCAAGUCGAGCGGAGUCGAUCGACGGAAGCCUUCGGGCGGAAGAUGGUUGACUUAGCGGCGGAUGGGUGAGUAACGCGUGGGCAACCUGCCUCGAAGACCGGGAUAACAGCCCGAAAGGGCUGCUAAUACCGGAUGUGGUCAAGGAUCCGCAUGGAUUUUUGAUUAAAGGGGAAACCCGUUUCGAGAUGGGCCCGCGUCCUAUCAGCUAGUUGGUGAGGUAAAAGCUCACCAAGGCGACGACGGGUAGCCGGCCUGAGAGGGUGACCGGCCACACUGGAACUGAGACACGGUCCAGACUCCUACGGGGGGCAGCAGUGGGGAAUCUUCCACAAUGGGCGAAAGCCUGAUGGAGCGACGCCGCGUGAGCGAAGAAGGCCUCGGUUGUAAAGCUCUGUCUGGAGGGACGGAAGGAAGUGACGGUACCUCCGGAGGAAGCCACGGCUAACUACGUGGCAGCAGCCGCGGUAAAAGUCACGUCG